GACGAACGCUGGCGGCGUGCUUAACACAUGCAAGUCGAACGGAAAGGCCCUGCUUUUGUGGGGUGCUCGAGUGGCGAACGGGUGAGUAACACGUGAGUAACCUGCACUUGACUUUGGGAUAACUUCAGGAAACUGGGGCUAAUACCGGAUAGGAGCUCCUGCUGCAUGGUGGGGGUUGGAAAGUUUCGGCGGUUGGGGAUGGACUCGCGGCUUAUCAGCUUGUUGGUGGGGUAGUGGCUUACCAAGGCUUUGACGGGUAGCCGGCCUGAGAGGGUGACCGGCCACAGUGGGACUGAGAUACGGCCCAGAGUCCUACGGGAGGCAGCAGUGGGGAAUAUUGCACAAUGGGCGGAAGCCGGAUGCAGCAACGCCGCGUGCGGGAUGAUGGCCUUCGGGUUGUAAACCGCUUUCGCCUGUGACGAAGCGUGAGUGACGGUAAUGGGUAAAGAAGCACCGGCUAACUACGUG
rnacentral:rRNA from 1 species